rnacentral:rRNA from 1 species
AGAGUUUGAUUCUGGCUCAGAACGAACGCUGGCGGCGUGGCUAAGACAUGCAAGUCGAACGGACUAUCCAAUUGAGUAAUCGAGCGGAUAGUUAGUGGCGAAAGGGUUAGUAAUGGAUAGGUAACGUACCCUAUGCUUCGGGAUAGCGUCGUCCCUUAGGGGAUUUCCGAAAGGGGCGGUAAUACCGGAUAAUAUCACUUUACGAUAGUUAAGUGAUCAAAGAUUUAUCGGCAAAGGAGCGGCCUAUCUCCUAUCAGCUUGUUGGUGAGGUAAUGGCUCACCAAGGCUUUGACGGGUAGCGGGACUGAGAGGUUGACCCGCAACAUCGGGACUGAGACACUGCCCGGACCUCCACGGAGGGCUGCAGUAACGAGUAUUGCGCAAUGGGCGAAAGCCUGACGCAGCGACGCCGCGUGCGGGAUGAAGUCCCUCGGGAUGUAAACCGCUGUCAGGGGUAAGAAGGUCCGGCUCCGGCCGGAUUGAUCUAACCCAGAGGAAGUCACGGCUAACUUCGUGCCAGCAGCCGCGGUAAGACGAAGGUGGCUAGCGUUGUUCGGUGUCAUUGGGCUUAAAGCGUGUGUAGGCGGAAAAGUAAGCGUUUUGUGAAAUCCCCCGGCUUAACCGGGGAAUUGCUUAGCGAACUACUUUUCUUGAGGCAAGUAGGGGUGCAUGGAACUCUUGGUGGAGCGGUGGAAUGCGUAGAUAUCAAGAGGUACGCCAGUGGUGAAAACGGUGCACUGGGCUUGUCCUGACGCUGAGACACGAAAGCGUGGGUAGCGAACGGGAUUAGAUACCCCGGUAGUCCACGCCGUAAACGAUGUCUACUAG